CCUACGGGAGGCAGCAGUGAGGAAUAUUGGUCAAUGGACGCAAGUCUGAACCAGCCAUGCCGCGUGCAGGAAGACGGCUCUAUGAGUUGUAAACUGCUUUUGUACGAGGGUAAACGCAGAUACGCGUAUCUGUCUGAAAGUAUCGUACGAAUAAGGAUCGGCUAACUGCGUGCCAGCAGCCGCGGUAAUACGGAGGAUUCAAGCGUUAUCCGGAUUUAAUGGGGUUAAAGGGGGCGUAGGCGGUCGGAUAAGUUAGAGGUGAAAUCCCGAGGCUCAACUUCGGAAUUGCCUCUGAUACUGUUCGGCUAGAGAGUAGUUGCGGUAGGCGGAAUGUAUGGUGUAGCGGUGAAAUGCUUAGAGAUCAUACAGAACACCGAUUGCGAAGGCAGCUUACCAAGCUUCUUCUGACGUUGAGGCACGAAAGCGUGGGGAGCAAACAGGAUUAGAUACCCGAGUAGUC
rnacentral:rRNA from 1 species